rnacentral:tRNA from 1 species
ACUUUUAAUGGACACC